UGUCACAGCCAUAUCACCCUGUAGCCCAAGACCGAUUGCCCACUGAAGCUAGGCAGGGUUGACCCUGGUUAGUACCUGGAUGGGAGACCUCCUGAAGAGGUGUUAGUGGGAC
rnacentral:rRNA from 1 species